UACGGGGGGGGUAAGCGUUGUUCGGAAUUACUGGGCGUAAAGGGCUCGUAGGCGGCCAACUAAGUCGGACGUGAAAUCCCUCAGCUUAACUGGGGAACUGCGUCCGAUACUGGAUGGCUUGAGGUUGGGAGAGGGAUGCGGAAUUCCAGGUGUAGCGGUGAAAUGCGUAGAUAUCUGGAGGAACACCGGUGGCGAAGGCGGCAUCCUGGACCAAUUCUGACGCUGAGGAGCGAAAGCCAGGGGAGCAAACGGG
rnacentral:rRNA from 1 species